GUCAACUACAGCCAUGCAUGCAGUUUCUUACUUUCGACAUGGACUGUGCCCACAGCUAGGACUGUUCACAGAGCAGCAAUUGAUGAAAGCUCUCCCAUGUGAACCAGAUAACUUCAAAUUUUCGGUGUUAAAGUAACUUCCAGAUUCAAACAAAUGCAGUCGUGUACACCCAUUACGAUUACUAGUGGUUAAACCCCUUCAGGAUGGCAAGUGAAGCUAUAGAACUCCAGAAAAA
rnacentral:lncRNA from 1 species